rnacentral:rRNA from 1 species
CGGGUGAGUAACACGUAUCCAACCUGCCGUCUACUCUUGGCCAGCCUUCUGAAAGGAAGAUUAAUCCAGGAUGGCAUCAUGAGUUCACAUGUCCGCAUGAUUAAAGGUAUUUUCCGGCAGACGAUGGGGAUGCGUUCCAUUAGAUAGUAGGCGGGGUAACGGCCCACCUAGUCAGCGAUGGAUAGGGGUUCUGAGAGGAAGGUCCCCCACAUUGGAACUGAGACACGGUCCAA